UACGGGGUGGCGCGGCGGGGGCGCCCGCCGGUUUCAGACCGUGGACGAGGACCGCUCGGGCUCGGCUCCGGUCCGCCCCCCGUCCCC
rnacentral:tRNA from 1 species